rnacentral:rRNA from 1 species
CGGUAGGCAGCAGUGGGGAGUAUUGCACAACGGGGGAAUCCAUGAUGCAGCGACGCCGCGUGUAGGAAGAAGGUCUUCGGAUUGUAAACUCCUGUUGUUGAGGAAGAUAAUGACGGUACUCAACAAGGAAGUGACGGCUAACUACGUGCCAGCAGCCGCGGUAAAACGUAGGUCACAAGCGUUGUCCGGAAUUACUGGGUGUAAAGGGAGCGCAGGCGGGAAGACAAGUUGGAAGUGAAAUCCAUGGGCUCAACCCGUGAACUGCUUUCAAAACUGUUUUUCUUGAGUAGUGCAGAGGUAGGCGGAAUUCCCGGUGUAGCGGUGGAAUGCGUAGAUAUCGGGAGGAACACCAGUGGCGAAGGCGGCCUACUGGGCACCAACUGACGCUGAGGCUCGAAAGUGUGGGUAGCAAACAGGAUUAGAUACCCUGGUAGUCCACACCGUAAACGAUGAAUUACUAGGUGUGGGAGGGAUGGACCCCAUCAGUGCCGCAAGUAAACACAAUAAGUAUUCCACCUGGGGGGUACGACCGCAAGGUUGAAACUCAAAGGAAUUGACGGGGGCCCGCACAAGCAGUGGAGUAUGUGGUUUAAUUCGACGCAACGCGAAGAACCUUACCAAGUCUUGACAUCCUGCGACGAUGCUGGAAACAGUAUUUUCCUUCGGGACGCAGAGACAGGUGGUGCAUGGUUGUCGUCAGCUCGUGUCGUGAGAUGUUGGGUUAAGUCCCGCAACGAGCGCAACCCUUAUGGUCAGUUACUACGCAAGAGGACUCUGGCCAGACUGCCGUUGACAAAACGGAGGAAGGUGGGGAUGACGUCAAAUCAUCAUGCCCUUUAUGACUUGGGCUACACACGUACUACAAUGGCGUUAAACAAAGAGAAGCAAGACCGCGAGGUGGAGCAAAACUCAGAAACAACGUCCCAGUUCGGACUGCAGGCUGCAACUCGCCUGCACGAAGUCGGAAUUGCUAGUAAUCGUGGAUCAGCAUGCCACGGUGAAUACGUUCCCGGGCCUUGCACU